UAACUGUCACACCUACAAGGCGGGGCAGAGAGAGGACCCUGAAGACCCAAGAUCUGAAUGCGCAGGCUCUCUUGGUUCCUGGACCCUGGACGCUGGAGGUAGACCAAGCAGAGUUCUCCAGAGAACACCGCAGGACUGUGCUACACCUUUCCCAGACCCUGUAGCCUAUCCCUUCACUUACCCUGCACUUAUGCCAAGACAUUGGUGGCUCUGUGGGGAUAUAUUGGUGAGCUUAUUCCUGCCAGGAAGAAGAGAGUGACAUUGUUCACUUCGGGAAGGUUCUUGUUAUUGAAGAGCUGUCACAGGAAAAAAUAAUGGGAGGUUCUGUGGACCUUCCAGAAGUGGAGCCUCUCCUGCAGUUUCUGUAGCCUGCCUGGUGAUGCGAGUAGCAGUCCAGUCAUCCUUGUUCCACAUCUAGUAUCCUGUUAUGAGCCUGUUCUUGGUGUUCAGGCAAUCACUUCGACUCACAGGACAUCUCCCUAGCUUGAAACUCCCAGUACUACUGCCCCCAGGCAGGA